AGUGCCACACCAAGCCUUAUGUAUAAACAUUAACUUUGCAUUAGUUUAUUUCAAAAUUUGUAAAAAUUUCAAAACUAUGGCAUUUUAGGCUAAAAGGAGCAAGCUUUUGCUUAGAACACAGAGACUAGUGGUCUUAUGGAUUAUGAAGACAUAUCGGACUGUUUUAAUACAGGCUAUGCUGGUCUUGGGCAGAUCUGAUGCCUUUGUCUUUGCUGGUGGGGCAAGAGGCUGCCUUAUUCCGCAUCUAUAUGGUCAAGGAGGGCACUUCUCACUGUGGACAGAUGUACCUGGUUGUUGCAGAAGAUUGCAAAGGAGAUGUAUGUGCAAUCCUGUCAGCAUAAACACAGUAGGCUACUUCCAAAAUAAAUGCCAUCUUUGGAACUGUUGGUAAAGAUCUCAAUUCCUGCCAUGUCUGGUUCACCAGCCUUUCAGCCAAAGCACAUGCAAAGGGAUGGAAGAUUGCACAUACAUCUGUGGACAGACCUCAAAGCAAUCAAAAUUUGAGAAUGCUUCUGGAGGUCAUAUUUUAUUGCCCUUGUUCACAAGCCCUUCCGACUGAUGUACCAUUUCCAAAUGGACUACCUCAGCUUACAAAAGCCACUUCUCUGUUUACAAAUGAAACAGGAACUGUAUUUGUUUUGAAGCCAG
rnacentral:lncRNA from 1 species